CUUUGAACUUUUUCGUUGCCAUGAUAAACUUCUGCGAAAGACUUUAUACACACAUAUUGUGACUGAUAUCAAGAAUAUAAAUGCAAAACACAAGAACAAUAAAGUGAAUGUAGUAUUGCAAAAUUUCAUGUACACCAUGUUAAGAGAUAGCAAUGCAACCGCAGCCAAGAUGUCUUUAGAUGUAAUGAUUGAACUCUACAGAAGGAACAUCUGAUAUUAGUUGCCGCUUUGACAUUCUUUCUUGGGAAAGAUGAAGAUGAAAAACAGGACAGUGACUCCGAAUCUGAGGAUGAUGGACCAACAGCAAGAGACCUGCUAGUACAAUAUGCUACAGGGAAGAAAAGUUCCAAAAACAAGAAAAA
rnacentral:lncRNA from 1 species